UUCACUAGUUCACGCUUACAUAUAAUUAGCUGAGGUAUGGUAUGCGUAUUUGGCGUGCUGUCCGGGGAAGGGCUCCGAGCUCGGGAAUUGCCCGAAGCUAGAGUACCCCCCAAAAAGGCAAAUGUACAGGAGGACAGCCGCCAGUUUAAAGAAUGCCCCCCAAAAAGCAGAGUACUGGCGGGGGCUGAUUUGGUUUUUGAGAAGUUAUCUCGUUGGCAGGCUGGAAGGGCCUACGUACUCCGGAGGGAGCGACUUGGGCGUUGAGAGAGUAGGCCCUACCAGCUGCAGCUAGUGAACUACGUGGUUGUUGGCGCCCGGUCGGUAGGGCUCGGGCCGAUGCUCAACUGGAGUUUUUUGGCGUUGGAUCGGUGAGCCCUGCCGGCCGAUGAGGAGGAGCGGCGUGGUUGUGGUGCCCGACCGGGAGGACCCGAGUUGCCUCGACCGGAAUAGGUCACGGUGUCGGCGUACGGGCCCUACUGGCUGAUAGCCCCUGCUAUUCAGUGGGUGAAGGGCCUAACGCUGACCGAGAGGGCCCAUGAAGCCUCCGACAGGAGAUUGAGACUCAGGAUGACGGACGUCUGGGUCCUCUCGGUUAGGCAGAUAAAAAGCUUUUGGGCCAGCCGACAAGGAGGACUCUGGCAACAUCCGAAGGGAGAUCCCGACUCACGGCAUCGGCUGGAUGAGAUUCACUUGCGGCUGGCAAGCAUAGGCCCGUCCGGGAGACUCUCGCCAGACGUCUGAAGGGAGCGCACGCGACAGACGGGUAAGCCUC